rnacentral:lncRNA from 1 species
CGGAGCGGACACGAGGGACCGUGAGAAAACGGAGGAGGAUAAGCCCCGAGAACGGCGGAAAGAGAAGCCAAAAGCAGAAAAACAGAGGAAGGAGAAGGCGAGAAGGGAAGGCUAGCCAGACACAAAUCCAGGAGCCAUUCCUUCUGCCUGGGAGGACGGAGUGAUGAAGACCAGAGGAAUCCCAGAGGAGAAGCCAUCUGAGAUCGGGAGGAGGAGAAAUGGAACAUCAGGCGGAGGAAACAGCCCAGACAAUCGCACUGGGACGUGAAAACCCUUGGGCUGCAUGCGGGGAGAAAACCAGAAUU